AGUUGAGAAACUGCAAGGAACACAAAAGACUCAAACAACAGAGUUCGAGGGUCUACUUGCUAACUCUGCGACCUAUGGCAAAACCCAAAUGAACCACCAACUGGUCUCACUCUGUCACCCAGGCUGGAGCGGUGCCAUCACAGCUCACUGCAGCCUGGACCUCCCAGACUCAAGUGAUCCUCCUACCACAGCCUCCCAAGUAGCCAGGACUACAGGUGAGUGCUCUGCUAAGCUCUGCAACAAGUUCCAAGCUAGUAGUGGCCAGCUACUCAGCUUUCUCAGGAAACUCACCUUCUCUCCUUGGAGUGAUGGGACUGAGUCCCGCAAACUGUGAAAGCUGUCUUUGAUGUGGUCCCUACGUUUUCGUUCCAGUGCAUUAUGAUGAGCCCGUUUGUCAGCCUAGAAGAAUGGGAGAAAGAACACAUUAGGAAUGUCACUCCUUUUGCUUGGUACAAGGUGGGUGGGGUACAGCCUGGAAGUACACGCUGUCAGCACUGUCCCUGGCGAGUGGACUGGGAAGGAUUUCUCGAGGUGGGCAGUUAGGAGUCUCCAGAAUUAGGCUCUGCUAAAGGGGGAGAAAGGGGUGAGCAACGCUUGCGACAGGAACAUCCAAAGUAGCUCGAUGCAUCCAGCUCAUGCAUAAGUAAAAUAAAAGUUAUUCAGGGGGACAAAGUGUGACUCUCCUGUAACAUCAGUGGUCCCCCCCAACUUGCUUAUGUGACAGAAGAGCCACCAGUCUGUGGUUAGGAAGUGACUAGAGAAAGCUCCAGUGGCCCCUUCUUAAGAUGUGAUCACCUCCACUGUAAGAGAUUCCCCAGAUAGGUGUCCAGGGGAAGAAAGAGUUAAGUCACUGGUGCUUCUUUAAUGUGAAACCAUCACCAUGAGUCCCAAGCCCACUAAAAGGCACUAGUUUAAGACCUUCUCACCAAAUCAUACAAUAGAAGCUAAAACCUCUAUAAAACCUAGAUGCAUUAAUCUGAGAUCAUUAUGACAGAGCUGAUAAGAUGACAACUGAAUUCUGAGUUCCUAUUUUUUUAAAGUAGAUCCAAGGUGCUAUCCUGCCAAGGGCUUCCUUGCACACAGGCAGUGCCUGACAGGCAGUUCUUAAGAGGGCACAACUUCUGACACCACAUACUCAGAAUAAAUUAUCUCAGGUACCUGUGGCAGGUCAGGCUAACUGGCAGUAUCUAAAUAUCCAAGUCAAAGCCUUAGCCUGCUUGGAAUCACAAAGAACAGUCAGCUGGAGAUGGACCAAAACUGCCAACACCAAAUCAGGAAUGGCAAAAUGCUCUGGCUUCAGGCAGAAGAGACAGCGCUGGAGAGCAUGGUAAGAGCACUUCAGCAGGUCCCCAUCAGAGGGGUCUCCCCUCCAAACGGAACACAAACAACCCAAAGCAAGAAGAACUUCAUCACACCUACACUCUAGGAAUUACGGAAAUUAUGCUCUGAACAUUCACCUUGAAUGCACAAGGUUGCACUGAGCUAAUCUAGAGAGCCAGUCUGUACUGGGAAGUUCAGGUAGCUUAAAUCUACACAAACAGAGGGCCAGAAAUUCAAAAAAUGGAACAGGAGUAAAUAACUUGGCUUAGCACAAGAAUAAUGCUGCCUCACGUGAAUCCUUGUACUAGAGAAGAUGUACAGACAAAAAUCUAUCAAGAGUUGUGAAAACGAAAGGACUUGAAAUUCUCCUGUUAUUUAAUCCUAAAAGUCCUAGUCAUUACAGAGGAAGAGGAGACUGGGAGCACCUGUAGUCAUCUGAGUUACUUCCUGGUCUCUUAAACUAAUACCUCACCUACAGCUCUGUUGAACUGGACAUGUGGUUCCCAUGACAACCAUGGUUCUCCAUAGCAUAUCUCUCUUUUGGGGGCAGAUGCCUGGAGCACUUCUAAAGUUGUCCUAAUCUUGUUAAGUCUGGAUUCACUGUAAAAUGAAUGUUUACUGAACUAUAGUGACAUGAAAUAUGAAGCUGAGAGGACAGUCAAGUUUGGAACACCACGUAACCUGAGGGUAGAGAGCAGCCCAAGAUACUCCUGUCUACUAAAUCACCCUGAUUCUUGGCCCUCCUCCCAGCUAAGAGCUGUGCACCAGAAUUACCCACAAUCCCUCUUGUUGAUACAAAUAAAAUUCUAAUUGUCUGUUCUUUCUGGGAGAGCCCUGCAAAUCUCAAACAGCUAGAAUGAAGUUGCACUUGGUUUCACGUGGACCUGCACUAAAGGGGUGGAGCUAAGUAUAAUCUAACACCAAAAUCAUCCGCACAAUGCACUACCCACUCCCAUUCACUGAGCUCUGAAAGGACUCAAAUGGACAAGUCUCUCGGUUGGAGGAUUGUAAGUGAACUUGGCUGUAGAUCAUGAGCAGAAAUCUUGGCUUCUCAUCUGGGGAGCCAGCCAAGUUUGAGAAGUUGGCUCAACAAGGAAAGGCAGCAGUCCACUGCCUGGUAGAAAGCCUGGGCUGGGGACUGUUGUUCUCAAAGUAGUGGAUGGAAUUUCUGUAGUGGUUCCAGGCCCAAUUUAACUAGCAGAAGAGUGGAAUCUUACACCAAUCCCUGCUGCCAUGUCCAUCCCUGAGCUACUAGUGGAGUCAAUUUUAAAUCUCUCAGAGACAAUGGCAAGGAUGUAUUUUUCUCUUCCCCAAGCUUGAUUUGAAAGAACAAGUUAAAAACAUGCAGAACUAACAAGCCUAAUUCCAGGCAACUCUGAAUUAAAUGUUAUCACUAAUGUUUUGAAAGAGCACAUGAAAAACAGAAAAACCUUUACACAAGGCUGAGAAUUCUCUGUGGGAAACAUUUCCAAACCACAGAUCCACCCAGACCGAUAACACUGCCCGUGCCUCAUCCCCACCUCCAUUGGAGGACUAGUUUGCAGGCUUUAUCACUGCCUUGUUAACUGUCUUUGCUUGCUGGCAACCCUUUUUGAGAGGGCCAAGAUUUCAGAGUUGAAGAAGAAAAACUGGGUGAAGACUCCCAGUGUAAGGCAUCUAAUAUCCUCCCCCAAAUGCAAAACUGGUUUUAAAAAACAAGGCCAAACAAUUGUCUUGAACAAAUAAAACUCUACUC